rnacentral:rRNA from 1 species
GAUGAACGCUGGCGGCGUGCUUAACACAUGCAAGUCGAACGGAAAGGCUCCUGCUUGCAGGGGUACUCGAGUGGCGAACGGGUGAGUAACACGUGGGUGAUCUGCCCUGCACUUCGGGAUAAGCCUGGGAAACUGGGUCUAAUACCGGAUAGGACGAUGGUUUGGAUGCCAUUGUGGAAAGUUUUUUCGGUGUGGGAUGAGCUCGCGGCCUAUCAGCUUGUUGGUGGGGUAAUGGCCUACCAAGGCGUCGACGGGUAGCCGGCCUGAGAGGGUGUACGGCCACAUUGGGAGUGAUAUGCGGCCCGGACCCCGCCGGGGGGCAGGAGGGGGGGAUAGUGCAGAAUGGGCGCAAGCCAUAAUCAGCGGCGCCGGGUGGGGGAGGACGGCCUUGGGUUUGUAAACCCCUUCCGCUGGGGAAGAACCGCAAGGGAGGGUCCGUGGAGAAGAAGCACCGGCUAACUAGGUG